GUGAAAGAAUGGGAAAGUGAGUUGGAAAAACUUGAAACCAUUCCCAAUAAGGAAAUUCAGGGCAUUCUGAGAAGAAGUUAUGAUGGCCUAGAUGAUAACGAAAAGAGUAUAUUUCUCGAUAUUGCAUGUUUCUUCAAGGGAAAUGAAAGAAAUUGGGUAGAAGACAUACUAAAUGGCUGUGGUUUUCCUGCUAGCUGGGGAAUACUUCGACUACUGGAUAAAUGCCUCAUAACUAUUGUGGAUGACAUAUUAGAGAUGCAUGAUUUGAUACAGGAAAUGGGUCAAAACAUUGCUCGGCGUAAAGGUAGAAGAUUGUGGAAUUCCAAAGACAUCUUUCAUAUGUUGUCAACUAAAAUGGGAAUGAAAAAAGUUGAAGGCAUUUUCUUGGACAUGUCUGAAUUAGGAAAGAUACACUUGGGUCAUGUAGCCUUUCCACAGAUGCAUAACUUAAGAUUGCUCAAAUGUUAUAGGCCUCAGAAUUGGUCAGAAAACAAAAUUAUAGGCUCUACAUCUGAAUCUAGUGAACCAAGUCAUCUUCUGCAUCUCUCCAAUAAGUUGAGUUUACUUCAUUGGGAUGAAUACCCUUACAAAUCUUUACCAUCUAAUUUUUUAAUGGAGAACCUUGUUGAAAUCAACAUGCAAGGCAGCAAAGUUGAACAACUUUGGAAUGGACGUAAGUGUCCUCAACAAUUAAAACGGCUCAAUCUUUCUGAAUCCGUGCACCUGAGGAGGCUCCCAAAUCUCUCUUCAGCAACUGAGCUGGAGUGGAUAAGUCUGCAGGGAUGUGAGAGUUUGCUUGAGAUUCCUAUGUCGAUUCAAUGCCUGCAAAAACUUGUUUGUCUUGAUCUACAAGGGUGCAAGAAGCUGAGGAGUCUUCCAAACCUUGUCCAGUUGAAAUCUCUUAAAGAGCUUUCACUCUCUUAUUGCUCAAAUUUGAAGAUGCUUCCUGAGAUUCCAAUUGGCAUAGAAGAGUUGGAACUGGAGGAUUGUGGAUUGGAAGGGCUGCCCUCAUCUGUUCCAUUUCUGGAAGAUAUUUAUAUUUUAAAGUUGAGGAAUUGCAAAAACCUUUUAAGUCUUCCUAGAAGUUUUCAUUUGAAAAAUGUUGAUGCACUUGAUCUCAGUGGUUGCUCGAAUCUCACCAAGUUACCAGAGAUUAUAGGAGAUUUAAAAUUAUUACUGCUAAACAAGACUGCAAUAGAAGAAUUGCCCUCAUCAAUAAGAUCAUUUUCUUCUCUUGUUGUGUUGAAUAUGAAGGGAUGUGAAAGUCUCAAGAACCUUCCAAGCUGCAUUUGUGACAUGAAAUUCCUUCAAAUGCUUAUUCUUAGUGGGUGCACAAAACUUGGGAAGUUGCCUCCUUUAUAUGGUUUGUGCUCUUUAAGAGAGCUAUAUGUUGAUGGCACUGCACUUGUAGAAAUCCCCAUUGACAUUUACGCUGCAGAAUGCCUUCACAGACUUGUUCUUAGUGGGUGCUCAAAACUUGCAAAAUUGCGGCCUCUACAUGAUUUUUCCCAUUUAAUGUUGUCAUAUCUUGAUGGCACUGUACUUAUAGAAAUCCUCAUUAAGAGAUUGAAUGGUAGAAGAUCGACUAUUGUAAUGUACCACAAGAGACUCCAUGCAUUGCCGUUAAAUUGUACACUAAUGGACACUGCAGGAUCAUACAUUGUCCCCAUUGCAGAAUGUGAAGAACUCAGCGGGUCAUAUAAUGUGUACAACUAUUGUAAUAGCGUAAAUUGGGAUCAGAAUGCACGUGGUGACAUUAUGGUAGAUGCACUACUGAGAAUGAAAGAAAUAAGCAUUACGAGCUAUACAGGUGCUCAUGUAAUUGUUGGUCUACCCGGAAGUGAAAUUCCAGAGUGCUUCAACUAUCAAAGCCCAGGAUCUUCAAUGGAUGUUCUGUUCCCUCAAUGUUGCUUUAAUUCUUUGUUCUUGGGUUUUGCUUUUUGUGUUGUUCUAGAUUUUGAGGUUCCUGUUGUUCCCAAGGAAGGUGAUUGUUUCUACUUUGCAUGUGAAUGCCGUUUCAAAAUUCCUAUGAGAGAAACAUGACAAUGAAAGGUCUGGCAUGGUUUCGUCUUCACUCAACCUUUUUGAGGUGGUCUGAAGACCACCUGUUUCUUUUCUACUGCAAGCCAAGUUAUUUUUGUAAUCUAAAUCAUUGGCUCAUACAAAGUUGUUGCAAUGUCAUGGAAGCGUCAUUUGUGUUCAAAUCAGAAUUCAAAUAUUCUCAGUUGAAGGUGAAAAUGUGUGGGAUCCAACUAUUGUAUUCCAAAGAUGUGCUGCACAAAUGCAAUGCAAGCAUAAAACAAAGCAAGUUCUCAUCACAAUAUGGAGCAACCAGGCCCGAGUUCCUAAAAGUGAUGGAAACCGACACCAACAAGAAGAGAAGCAGGGAAAACUCCUUCCCCUUGGAUUGCAUUACCAUCAUUGCAGAUGGCAAAUCUGAUUAUGAGGAAGAAGAACAACCACACCCUAAAAGAGUAAAGUGAACACUUGCACCAAAGUGAUUGUGGUGCUUUCAAUGGCAUUAGCCACACGUUGCCUCAAAUAUAGAUAAGAUACGAAACUAGCUUUAUAAAUUGUAAGGCUAUGUUUGGAUGUGAGUCAUGUUGACAUUUUUCUGAAGUACAUAAUUCAACAUUUUGUGAUUUGAACCUAUGAUCUUAGUUUGCAAAGUAUUCAAUUUGCAUAUUCAUUACAUAUAUUCGAGUGAACGAGCUGCUCAUUGAAUAUCAAACCACCAAAAUUUUGGCAUUAUACAUGCACGUAGUGAAAUUUUCGUGUCAAACGUGAUUUGCUUUCUUGGUGGGUAUAUCAAAAACUUCUACAAUACCUCGAAAUUUUGGCUGCAUUUUUAUCUUUGAUGAUUCACUUAUAUGUGCCUGGAUACAAUAGUUUGAAUGAAUUUUGAACAAAAA
rnacentral:misc_RNA from 1 species